GGCUGGAGGGAUGCUGGAGCUUCUCUUGAGUAGCAGCCUGGACAACCACUCAGGCAUUGACGGUGUUUGAAGGUGGCGAUGCUGGUUUGUUAACCUUCUGAAAGCUUGAAAUUUGGGCCUUGAAAAGUUUGAAAAUGAGGGGAAACAGAGGCCGAUGAGGAAUGGAGCUAAGAAUGGAGUGAUGACUGAGAACUUCAGAAGACACAAUGUCAGGUUUGCAGUGACAAGAAACUGAGCUGCAGGGGAUGUAUCAGUAAAAAGGAUGACUUAGUCCUUGUCAUCAAGAGGGAGUGUAUCCUACCAGAUGGAAGCACAGGAUCUGAGCCACCUGGUCUGAGUUUGAAGCCCAGCUCUGCCACGGAUGAGCCCCUACAUCUAAGUAAAGGCUACACUACUUAAACCAGAGAGUUCCCUCUCAUUUUCUUGCAAUGAUGAAGGUUCUGCAAAGAAGGUAUUUUUCAACUUGGCCUUGAAGGAACUGGUGGAGAGACAGGCUUUGGACUUGGACUUCUUUUGGCACACACACCCAAAGAUUUUAAUUAUGCUCCUUAGAGCCCCAAGCCUUGGGACAAGUUGAUGAGAAAAUGACAAGAGUGAAGCAGACAAUAGUAAAUUCUGGUUAUACUUGUGAAGUCAGUGAGGAUGUGGCUCUGAACGGGGAAAAUGAAACAUCACUUCUGAUUUCAACCUCCACUCUUCAGGGUGACCCUAUUCAGGACCCUUCAAUGCCAUCUUUUAAGGUGGAAAUAAACUGCCUGUGACCAUGAUCCAGAUGCUUUCUGUAAAACGAUGGAUUCUGAACGUACUUGGUGGCUUCAUUUUUACACGACUCAUGACUGGCAUUGUGCACAAACAGGCCUUUAAUCAUCAUUUCCGAAUGCAGACAUUUCCAAGCUUGAGGCUCAGGGGAACCAAAGUUGUUCUCUACAGAAGGGCAAACUAUUAGUCUCCUCCUCGUCCCUUCUGCAUUCUUCACUCUUAAAAGAACUUGCCUUCGAGGUUGGAGGGGCGACCCGAACCCCUACAUCAAGUCUGGCUUCUUUCCCUCUCCCUGGCCCAGGCCCUAUUGCUCUUGAUCAUUGGAAAAGCUCUUGAUCAUUGGAAAAGCACUUUCGCUGUGCAGGGUAUUUACUGGUACUUUAGGGAGUUGGGAGGGGGGUGUAUAACCGCAGGAGUCCGCCUCAGUCCACUUCAUCAAAGAUGCUGAGGGAGGGAAUUCCGCCGCCGGCAGAUGGGGAUGAGACCCCGACCACCGUGGUCCCUCCCAGCCGUCUUUCCCUCGGGGAUUAGCUGCCCCUGGCACAGCUCAAGCGUGCCCGGCCGGAGCGGUCCCUGCUCGCACAGCUCCAGCUGCCUCUCUGGAGUGCGGACGCAGCCACAAGCCCGCAGCCA